rnacentral:rRNA from 1 species
GACGAACGCUGGCGGCGUGCUUAACACAUGCAAGUCGAACGGAAAGGCCCUGCUUUUGUGGGGUGCUCGAGUGGCGAACGGGUGAGUAACACGUGAGUAACCUGCCCUUGACUUUGGGAUAACUUCAGGAAACUGGGGCUAAUACCGGAUAGGAGCUCCUGCUGCAUGGUGGGGGUUGGAAAGUUUCGGCGGUUGGGGAUGGACUCGCGGCUUAUCAGCUUGUUGGUGGGGUAGUGGCUUACCAAGGCUUUGACGGGUAGCCGGCCUGAGAGGGUGACCGGCCACAUUGGGACUGAGAUACGGCCCAGACUGCUACGGGAGGCAGCAGUGGGGAAUAUUGCACAGUGGGCGGAAGCCUGAUGCAGCAACGCCGCGUGCGGGAUGACGGCCUUCGGGUUGUAAACCGCUUUCGCCUGUGACGAAGCGUGAGUGACGGUAAUGGGUAAAGAAGCACCGGCUAACUACGUG